AAGUCGUACGCUUCUUUUUCCACCGGAGCUUGCUCCACCGGAAAAAGAAGAGUGGCGAACGGGUGAGUAACACGUGGGUAACCUGCCCAUCAGAAGGGGAUAACACUUGGAAACAGGUGCUAAUACCGUAUAACAAUCGAAACCGCAUGGUUUUGAUUUGAAAGGCGCUUUCGGGUGUCGCUGAUGGAUGGACCCGCGGUGCAUUAGCUAGUUGGUGAGGUAACGGCUCACCAAGGCCACGAUGCAUAGCCGACCUGAGAGGGUGAUCGGCCACAUUGGGACUGAGACACGGCCCAAACUCCUACGGGAGGCAGCAGUAGGGAAUCUUCGGCAAUGGACGAAAGUCUGACCGAGCAACGCCGCGUGAGUGAAGAAGGUUUUCGGAUCGUAAAACUCUGUUGUUAGAGAAGAACAAGGAUGAGAGUAACUGUUCAUCCCUUGACGGUAUCUAACCAGAAAGCCACGGCUAACUACGUGCCAGCAGCCGCGGUAAUACGUAGGUGGCAAGCGUUGUCCGGAUUUAUUGGGCGUAAAGCGAGCGCAGGCGGUUUCUUAAGUCUGAUGUGAAAGCCCCCGGCUCAACCGGGGAGGGUCAUUGGAAACUGGGAGACUUGAGUGCAGAAGAGGAGAGUGGAAUUCCAUGUGUAGCGGUGAAAUGCGUAGAUAUAUGGAGGAACACCAGUGGCGAAGGCGGCUCUCUGGUCUGUAACUGACGCUGAGGCUCGAAAGCGUGGGGAGCAAACAGGAUUAGAUACCCUGGUAGUCCACGCCGUAAACGAUGAGUGCUAAGUGUUGGAGGGUUUCCGCCCUUCAGUGCUGCAGCUAACGCAUUAAGCACUCCGCCUGGGGAGUACGACCGCAAGGUUGAAACUCAAAGGAAUUGACGGGGGCCCGCACAAGCGGUGGAGCAUGUGGUUUAAUUCGAAGCAACGCGAAGAACCUUACCAGGUCUUGACAUCCUUUGACCACUCUAGAGAUAGAGCUUCCCCUUCGGGGGCAAAGUGACAGGUGGUGCAUGGUUGUCGUCAGCUCGUGUCGUGAGAUGUUGGGUUAAGUCCCGCAACGAGCGCAACCCUUAUUGUUAGUUGCCAUCAUUUAGUUGGGCACUCUAGCAAGACUGCCGGUGACAAACCGGAGGAAGGUGGGGAUGACGUCAAAUCAUCAUGCCCCUUAUGACCUGGGCUACACACGUGCUACAAUGGGAAGUACAACGAGUCGCGAAGUCGCGAGGCUAAGCUAAUCUCUUAAAGCUUCUCUCAGUUCGGAUUGUAGGCUGCAACUCGCCUACAUGAAGCCGGAAUCGCUAGUAAUCGCGGAUCAGCACGCCGCGGUGAAUACGUUCCCGGGCCUUGUACACACCGCCCGUCACACCACGAGAGUUUGUAACACCCGAAGUCGGUGAGGUAACCUUUU
rnacentral:rRNA from 1 species